rnacentral:rRNA from 1 species
GACGAACGCUGGCGGCGUGCCUAACACAUGCAAGUCAACUUGACGGAAGGAGCAAUCUGACCGUAGAGUGGCGCAAGGGUGCGUAACGCGUAAGUAACUUGCCCCAAGGUAAGGAAUAACGUCGAGAAAUCGGCGCUAAUACCUCAUAAUGCAGCGGAUCCGCAUGGAUAUGUUGUUAAAAGGUUUACCGCCUUGGGAUAGGCUUGCGUCUGAUUAGCUAGUUGGUGUGGUAACGGCACACCAAGGCUACGAUCAGUAACUGGUCUGAGAGGAUGAUCAGUCACACUGGAACUGAGACACGGUCCAGACUCCUACGGGAGGCAGCAGUGAGGAAUAUUGGGCAAUGCUCGAAAGAGUGACCCAGCAACGCCGCGUGGAGGAUGAAGGUAUUCUAUAUCGUAAACUCCUGUGAGAGCAGACGAAAGACAGAUUAUUAAUCUGGAUGACUAGUAUGCUCAGAGGAAGCCCGGCUAACUACGUGCA